AAUGAUAUUUAUGCUUUAAACGUUUUUGAAAAUGUGCAAAAUUUUAUACAUUUUACUUCUCAUUACCUGUUCAAAAGUUUGGAAUCAGUAUGUUUUUUUUUUAAUAAAUUUAUAUUUUAAUUCUGCAAGGAUGCAUUAAAUUGAAACCAUGUGAGAAACUAAAUCUAUUUGCUAUUAAUCAUUUAGUAAUUAAAGCAAACAUGUUCAGUGAAUAAUGACUUAAAUAUCACACAGGUUAAUUUUAUGGUGCUUUUUCAGUCUUUUAGGAGUUUGAUGGCUCUUAUGCUACAAUUUUAUGGAAAAGAGCUGCUUGUACAUUCUGCCUAACAUCCGUUUUUAUGCUCCACAGAUGAAAGAAAGUGUCAGGGGUUUGCAACUCAUAAGUAAACAAUGACAGAAUUUCCCUUUCAGGGUAAACUUCCCCUUUAAGAACACACCAAACCAAUUCACCUGAUCUGACAUAUGUUAAACAAAUAAAAAGUAAAAAUAAAUGUCCCCUGGUCAGUAGGGGAUUCCCAUGUCCUCCGUCUUGACCCCCACCAAAAUCCUUCAGUAACCCAUUCACUAACCAGGCAGUUCCAAAACGAACCCCCCUUCAUCCCACAGAAAGAGGGAACGCUGUGGUCCUAUAAAUAGAGGCGAGGAAUGGUGCUGAUAUGUUGAAGGAAGGAGGGGGGCAUGGAAAAAGGAUUAAGAGAGAUAUUCGACUGGUGAUCGGGCUGUUCUUGCAGCCUGUGGAUCUCUGACUCAGGUAAUCCGGAUAGGAGGGAUGUCACAUGUGAGUUUCAUGCGAUCUUGAUGACAGUACAAUUGGACUUGAUGUGCUCGUUUUGCUCCAUAUCUCUCUCUAUUUACCUCUCUUCCUUUUGGCAGCAGUGCUGCGCCUUCCCCCUGAGGAUGGGAUGUGUGUUCAGGAUUGGAGGUAAAGGUGUGAUGACUGUACUUCGUGUUCAGCUCUUUUGUGCAGUUCCAGAACCUGCUUCAUUGACUCCUGUCCUGUCAUGUCCAAACCAACUUCAAAGGACGGUGUUUAAGCCGCCAGCCAGUGCAAAAGAAUAAAAAAGUUGCAUAUGAAAACAGAUGUACAUCACUCAUUGUCACCCACUGUUGAGGUACUUUUCCUGUGCAAUUCUCAUAAUGAGGUUGAGAUUUAUCAUAAAUGCAUCUUGUCUCGUCAUUCUGUUUUUCAACCUCUUCUCAACCCCCUUUCAAACUAAUUCUUUCCCCUCCCCCUCUCCCUCUUUCUAUUUAUUCAAAGCCAUUGAUCAUGCAUGCAGAAAUUUAGCACGCCCAUAGCUCCAGUCGGGAGCGCUGGGGCGCUGUCCUACAUACUGCUUCUCCACACACACACACACACACACACACACACACACACACUUGUACUGAGACCACAAUCAAAUAUACAAGCAUGCACCCACACCCACACACACACACCGGGCAACCGUGCUGACAAACUCUUGAGCCGUGAUACAUAAGCACGCAAAUUUUUUACAAAUUGUGGCAUGCAUUCCUACCUGUUCAGCCUAUGAACUGCUCUCAAAACUUUUGGUGCAUGAGUAUGAUUUUGGAUCUGAUAAUUCAGAUUUUCACUUUGCAUCUGUUUUCUUGUCUUCCACUGAAAUAUCACGUUGCAUAUAUUUAACUUGUACUACUUUCUUUUUGCAGGUGCACUUCUGCUCUAUAGCUUUUGUGCUCUUAACUGCUGAUAUUGUUUGCUUUUGUAUGAUAAAUUGCUUUGGAUAACAAAAUGAU
ensembl:lncRNA